AUUGACCUCAACUACAUGGUCUACAUGUUCCAGUAUGAUUCCACCCAAAGCAAAUUCCACGGCACAGUCAAGGCUGAGAAUGGGAAACGUGUCAUCCAUGGAAAGCCCAUCACCAUCUUCCAGGAGCGAGAUCCCGCCAACAUCAAAUGGGGUGAUGCUGGUGCUGAGUAUGUUGUGGAGUCCACUGGGGUCUUCGCCUCCAUGGAGAAGGCUGGGGCUCACUUGAGGGGUGGGGCCAAGAGGGUCAUCAUCUCUGCCCCUUCUGCUGAUGCCCCCAUGUUUGUGAUGGGCGUGAACCAUGAGCAGUAUGACAACUCCCUCAAGAUUGUCAGCAAUGCCUCCUGCGCCACCACCUGCCUGGCCCCUCUGGCCAAGGUCAUCCAUGAACACUGUGGCAUCGCGGAGGGACUCAUGACCACAGUCCAGGUCAUCACCGCCACCCAGAAGACAUGGAUGGCCCCUCUGGGAAGCUGUGGCGUGAUGGCCGAGGGGCUGCCCAGAACAUCAUUCCUGUUUCUACUGGUGCUGCCAAGGCUGUGGGCAAGGUCAUCCCUGAGCUGAAUGGGAAGCUCACUGGCAUGGCCUUCUGUGUCCCCACCCCCAAUGUGUCCAUCGUGGAUCUGACCUGCUUCCUGGAGAAAGCUGCCAAAUACGAAGACAUCAAGAAGGUGGUGAAGCAGGCAUCAGAGGGCCCCCUCAAGGGCAUCCUGGGCUAUGCUGAGGACCAGGUCAUCUCCUGCGACUUUAACAGUGACACCCACUCUUCCACCUUCGACGCUGGGGCUGACAUUGUGCUCAGUGACCACUUUGUCAAGCUCAUUUCCUGGUAUGACAAUGAAUUUGGCUACAGCAACCAGGUGGUGGAUCUUAUGGUCCACAUGGCCUCCAAGGAGUAA